ensembl:snRNA U2 U2 spliceosomal RNA
AUUGCUUCUCGGCCUUUUGGCUAAGAUCAAGUGUAGUAGAUAUAUGGUAUAUAGUCUAUUGAUUUCUAGUUUUUCCUCAAACCCCAGGCUUUGCCAAAGUCCUUUUGUCCACUUCCAUGCUGACAUGAGUGUUGUGUGUUCAGCUGGGCUUCCUAUUUACGGAGGGAGCUCUCGGGGCUCCAGUUUAAGAGGACAUCUGGAAGCCCGGGGCCUCUU